CCUACGGGAGGCUGCAGUGAGGAAUAUUGGUCAAUGGACGGAAGUCUGAACCAGCCAUGUCGCGUGAAGGAAGACGGCUCUAUGAGUUGUAAACUGCUUUUAUACAGGGGUAAAGCUGUCCACGUGUGUUUAGUUGCAUGUACCCUAUGAAUAAGCAUCGGCUAACUCCGUGCCAGCAGCCGCGGUAAUACGGAGGAUGCGAGCGUUAUCCGGAUUUAUUGGGUUUAAAGGGUGCGUAGGUUGUUUGUUAAGUCAGAGGUGAAAUGUUGGGGCUUAACCCGAAAACUGCCUCUGAAACUGGAAGACUUGAGUGUGUUUGCGGUAGGCGGAAUGUAUGGUGUAGCGGUGAAAUGCUUAGAGAUCAUGCAGAACACCGAUUGCGAAGGCAGCUUACCAAUCCAUAUCUGACACUGAAGCACGAAAGCGUGGGGAGCAAACAGGAUUAGAUACCCGAGUAGUC
rnacentral:rRNA from 1 species